GACUGCGUAGCUCAGUUGGAAGAGCAUUGGGCUAGUAUUCCAAAGGUCGUAGGUUCGAAUCCUACCGUGGCCG
rnacentral:tRNA from 1 species